AUUGAACGCUGGCGGCAGGCCUAACACAUGCAAGUCGAGCGGAUGAAGGGAGCUUGCUCCUGGAUUCAGCGGCGGACGGGUGAGUAAUGCCUAGGAAUCUGCCUGGUAGUGGGGGAUAACGUCCGGAAACGGGCGCUAAUACCGCAUACGUCCUGAGGGAGAAAGUGGGGGAUCUUCGGACCUCACGCUAUCAGAUGAGCCUAGGUCGGAUUAGCUAGUUGGUGGGGUAAAGGCCUACCAAGGCGACGAUCCGUAACUGGUCUGAGAGGAUGAUCAGUCACACUGGAACUGAGACACGGUCCAGACUCCUACGGGAGGCAGCAGUGGGGAAUAUUGGACAAUGGGCGAGAGCCUGAUCCAGCCAUGCCGCGUGUGUGAAGAAGGUCUUCGGAUUGUAAAGCACUUUAAGUUGGGAGGAAGGGCAGUAAGUUAAUACCUUGCUGUUUUGACGUUACCAACAGAAUAAGCACCGGCUAGCUUCGUG
rnacentral:rRNA from 1 species